CCUACGGGAGGCAGCAGUGAGGAAUAUUGGUCAAUGGACGAGAGUCUGAACCAGCCAAGUCGCGUGAAGGAUGACUGUCCUAUGGGUUGUAAACUUCUUUUAUCUGGGAAUAAAAUCUUCCACGUGUGUGCUUUUGUAUGUACCAUAUGAAUAAGGAUCGGCUAACUCCGUGCCAGCAGCCGCGGUAAUACGGAGGAUCCGAGCGUUAUCCGGAUUUAUUGGGUUUAAAGGGAGCGUAGGUGGAUUGUUAAGUCAGUUGUGAAAGUUUGCGGCUCAACCGUAAAACUGCAGUUGAAACUGGCAGUCUUGAGGACAGUAGAGGUGGGCGGAAUUCGUGGUGUAGCGGUGAAAUGCAUAGAUAUCACGAAGAACUACGAGUGCGAAGGCAGCACACUGGACUGCAACUGACACUGAGGCUCGAAAGCGUGGGUAUCAAACAGGAUUAGAUACCCGAGUAGUC
rnacentral:rRNA from 1 species